rnacentral:rRNA from 1 species
GACGAACGCUGGCGGCGUGCUUAACACAUGCAAGUCGAACGGAAAGGCCCUGCUUUUGUGGGGUGCUCGAGUGGCGAACGGGUGAGUAACACGUGAGUAACCUGCCCUUGACUUUGGGAUAACUUCAGGAAACUGGGGCUAAUACCGGAUAGGAGCUCCUGCUGCAUGGUGGGGGUUGGAAAGUUUCGGCGGUUGGGGAUGGACUCGCGGCUUAUCAGCUUGUUGGUGGGGUAGUGGCUUACCAAGGCUUUGACGGGUAGCCGGCCUGAGAGGGUGACCGGCCACAUUGGGACUGAGAUACGGCCCAGACUCCUACGGGAGGCAGCAGUGGGGAAUAUUGCACAAUGGGCGGAAGCCUGAUGCAGCAACGCCGCGUGCGGGAUGACGGCCUUCGGGUUGUAAACCGCUUUCGCCUGUGACGAAGCGUGAGUGACGGUAAUGGGUAAAGAAGCACCGGCUAACUACGUGCCAGCAGCCGCGGUGAUACGUAGGGUGCGAGCGUUGUCCGGAUUUAUUGGGCGUAAAGGGCUCGUAGGUGGUUGAUCGCGUCGGAAGUGUAAUCUUGGGGCUUAACCCUGAGCGUGCUUUCGAUACGGGUUGACUUGAGGAAGGUAGGGGAGAAUGGAAUUCCUGGUGGAGCGGUGGAAUGCGCAGAUAUCAGGAGGAACACCAGUGGCGAAGGCGGUUCUCUGGGCCUUUCCUGACGCUGAGGAGCGAAAGCGUGGGGAGCGAACAGGCUUAGAUACCCUGGUAGUCCACGCUGUAAACGGUGGGUACUAGGUGUGGGGUCCAUUCCACGGGUUCCGUGCCGUAGCUAACGCUUUAAGUACCCCGCCUGGGGAGUACGGCCGCAAGGCUAAAGCUCAAGGGAAUUGACGGGGCCCCGCACAAGCGGCGGAGCAUGCGGAUUAAUUCGAUGCAACGCGUAGAACCUUACCUGGGUUUGACAUGGAUCGGGAGCGCUCAGAGAUGGGUGUGCCUCUUUUGGGGUCGGUUCACAGGUGGUGCAUGGCUGUCGUCAGCUCGUGUCGUGAGAUGUUGGGUUAAGUCCCGCAACGAGCGCAACCCUUGUUCACUGUUGCCAGCACGUUAUGGUGGGGACUCAGUGGAGACCGCCGGGGUCAACUCGGAGGAAGGUGGGGAUGACGUCAAGUCAUCAUGCCCCUUAUGUCCAGGGCUUCACGCAUGCUACAAUGGCUGGUACAGAGAGUGGCGAGCCUGUGAGGGUGAGCGAAUCUCGGAAAGCCGGUCUCAGUUCGGAUUGGGGUCUGCAACUCGACCUCAUGAAGUCGGAGUCGCUAGUAAUCGCAGAUCAGCAACGCUGCGGUGAAUACGUUCCCGGG